rnacentral:rRNA from 2 species
CCUUGAAAUACCACCCUUUAAUGUUUGAUGUUCUAACGUGGACCCGUGAUCCGGGUUGCGGACAGUGUCUGGUGGGUAGUUUGACUGGGGCGGUCUCCUCCUAAAGAGUAACGGAGGAGCACGAAGGUUGGCUAAUCCUGGUCGGACAUCAGGAGGUUAGUGCAAUGGCAUAAGCCAGCUUGACUGCGAGCGUGACGGCGCGAGCAGGUGCGAAAGCAGGUCAUAGUGAUCCGGUGGUUCUGAAUGGAAGGGCCAUCGCUCAACGGAUAAAAGGUACUCCGGGGAUAACAGGCUGAUACCGCCCAAGAGUUCAUAUCGACGGCGGUGUUUGGCACCUCGAUGUCGGCUCAUCACAUCCUGGGGCUGAAGUAGGUCCCAAGGGUAUGGCUGUUCGCCAUUUAAAGUGGUACGCGAGCUGGGUUUAGAACGUCGUGAGACAGUUCGGUCCCUAUCUGCCGUGGGCGCUGGAGAACUGAGGGGGGCUGCUCCUAGUACGAGAGGACCGGAGUGGACGCAUCACUGGUGUUCGGGUUGUCAUGCCAAUGGCACUGCCCGGUAGCUAAAUGCGGAAGAGAUAAGUGCUGAAAGCAUCUAAGCACGAAACUUGCCCCGAGAUGA